rnacentral:rRNA from 1 species
GGUUAAGCGACUAAGCGUACACGGUGGAUGCCCUGGCAGUCAGAGGCGAUGAAGGGCGUGCUAAUCUGCGAUAAGCGCCGGUAAGGUGAUAUGAACCGUUAUAACCGGCGAUACCCGAAUGGGGAAACCCAGUGUGAUUCGUCACACUAUCAUUAACUGAAUCCAUAGGUUAAUGAGGCGAACCGGGGGAACUGAAACAUCUAAGUACCCCGAGGAAAAGAAAUCAACCGAGAUUCCCCCAGUAGCGGCGAGCGAACGGGGAGGAGCCCAGAGCCUGAAUCAGCAUGUGUGUUAGUGGAAGCGUCUGGAAAGGCGCGCGAUACAGGGUGACAGCCCCGUACACAAAAGCGCAUGUGCUGUGAGCUCGAUGAGUAGGGCGGGACACGUGGUAUCCUGUCUGAAUAUGGGGGGACCAUCCUCCAAGGCUAAAUACUCCUGACUGACCGAUAGUGAACCAGUACCGUGAGGGAAAGGCGAAAAGAACCCCGGCGAGGGGAGUGAAAAAGAACCUGAAACCGUGUACGUACAAGCAGUGGGAGCCCCACCACUAAGCCAGUGGUGAACUCCACAUCCGCAUCCUUUGCUGAGGAUACGGUUAACGGAGCGAAAGCGACGUUCAACCGCAAAACAAGCAGAGGGGGCUUAGUGGUGGGGUGACUGCGUACCUUUUGUAUAAUGGGUCAGCGACUUAUAUUCUGUAGCAAGGUUAACCGUAUAGGGGAGCCGUAGGGAAACCGAGUCUUAACCGGGCGUUAAGUUGCAGGGUAUAGACCCGAAACCCGGUGAUCUAGCCAUGGGCAGGUUGAAGGUUGGGUAACACUAACUGGAGGACCGAACCGACUAAUGUUGAAAAAUUAGCGGAUGACCUGUGGCUGGGGGUGAAAGGCCAAUCAAACCGGGAGAUAGCUGGUUCUCCCCGAAAGCUAUUUAGGUAGCGCCUCGUGAAUUCAUCUCCGGGGGUAGAGCACUGUUUCGGCUAGGGGGCCAUCCCGGCUUACCAACCCGAUGCAAACUGCGAAUACCGGAGAAUGUUAUCACGGGAGACACACGGCGGGUGCUAACGUCCGUCGUGAAGAGGGAAACAACCCAGACCGCCAGCUAAGGUCCCAAAGUCAUGGUUAAGUGGGAAACGAUGUGGGAAGGCCCAGACAGCCAGGAUGUUGGCUUAGAAGCAGCCAUCAUUUAAAGAAAGCGUAAUAGCUCACUGGUCGAGUCGGCCUGCGCGGAAGAUGUAACGGGGCUAAACCAUGCACCGAAGCUGCGGCAGCGACGCUGAUGCGUUGUUGGGUAGGGGAGCGUUCUGUAAGCCUGUGAAGGUGUGUCGUGAGGCAUGCUGGAGGUAUCAGAAGUGCGAAUGCUGACAUAAGUAACGAUAAAGCGGGUGAAAAGCCCGCUCGCCGGAAGACCAAGGGUUCCUGUCCAACGUUAAUCGGGGCAGGGUGAGUCGACCCCUAAGGCGAGGCCGAAAGGCGUAGUCGAUGGGAAACGGGUUAAUAUUCCCGUACUUGGUGUUACUGCGAAGGGGGGACGGAGAAGGCUAUGUUGGCCGGGCGACGGUUGUCCCGGUUUAAGCGUGUAGGUGUGUGUUCCAGGUAAAUCCGGUUCACUUUAACACUGAGGCGUGACGACGAGGCACUACGGUGCUGAAGCAACAAAUGCCCUGCUUCCAGGAAAAGCCUCUAAGCAUCAGGUAACACGAAAUCGUACCCCAAACCGACACAGGUGGUCAGGUAGAGAAUACCAAGGCGCUUGAGAGAACUCGGGUGAAGGAACUAGGCAAAAUGGUGCCGUAACUUCGGGAGAAGGCACGCUGACACGUAGGUGAAGUGAUUUACUCAUGGAGCUGAAGUCAGUCGAAGAUACCAGCUGGCUGCAACUGUUUAUUAAAAACACAGCACUGUGCAAACACGAAAGUGGACGUAUACGGUGUGACGCCUGCCCGGUGCCGGAAGGUUAAUUGAUGGGGUCAGCGCAAGCGAAGCUCCUGAUCGAAGCCCCGGUAAACGGCGGCCGUAACUAUAACGGUCCUAAGGUAGCGAAAUUCCUUGUCGGGUAAGUUCCGACCUGCACGAAUGGCGUAAUGAUGGCCAGGCUGUCUCCACCCGAGACUCAGUGAAAUUGAACUCGCUGUGAAGAUGCAGUGUACCCGCGGCAAGACGGAAAGACCCCGUGAACCUUUACUAUAGCUUGACACUGAACAUUGAGCCUUGAUGUGUAGGAUAGGUGGGAGGCUUUGAAGUGUGGACGCCAGUCUGCAUGGAGCCGACCUUGAAAUACCACCCUUUAAUGUUUGAUGUUCUAACGUGGACCCGUAAUCCGGGUUGCGGACAGUGUCUGGUGGGUAGUUUGACUGGGGCGGUCUCCUCCUAAAGAGUAACGGAGGAGCACGAAGGUUGGCUAAUCCUGGUCGGACAUCAGGAGGUUAGUGCAAUGGCAUAAGCCAGCUUGACUGCGAGCGUGACGGCGCGAGCAGGUGCGAAAGCAGGUCAUAGUGAUCCGGUGGUUCUGAAUGGAAGGGCCAUCGCUCAACGGAUAAAAGGUACUCCGGGGAUAACAGGCUGAUACCGCCCAAGAGUUCAUAUCGACGGCGGUGUUUGGCACCUCGAUGUCGGCUCAUCACAUCCUGGGGCUGAAGUAGGUCCCAAGGGUAUGGCUGUUCGCCAUUUAAAGUGGUACGCGAGCUGGGUUUAGAACGUCGUGAGACAGUUCGGUCCCUAUCUGCCGUGGGCGCUGGAGAACUGAGGGGGGCUGCUCCUAGUACGAGAGGACCGGAGUGGACGCAUCACUGGUGUUCGGGUUGUCAUGCCAAUGGCACUGCCCGGUAGCUAAAUGCGGAAGAGAUAAGUGCUGAAAGCAUCUAAGCACGAAACUUGCCCCGAGAUGAGUUCUCCCUGAGACUUAGAGUCUCCUGAAGGAACGUUGAAGACGACGACGUUGAUAGGCCGGGUGUGUAAGCGCAGCGAUGCGUUGAGCUAACCGGUACUAAUGAACCGUGAGGCUUAACCUU